rnacentral:rRNA from 1 species
GAUGAACGCUGGCGGCGUGCCUAAUACAUGCAAGUCGAGCGAACGGACGAGAAGCUUGCUUCUCUGAUGUUAGCGGCGGACGGGUGAGUAACACGUGGAUAACCUACCUAUAAGACUGGGAUAACUUCGGGAAACCGGAGCUAAUACCGGAUAAUAUUUUGAACCGCAUGAUUCAAAAGUGAAAGACGGUCUUGCUGUCACUUAUAGAUGGAUCCGCGCUGCAUUAGCUAGUUGGUAAGGUAACGGCUUACCAAGGCAACGAUGCAUAGCCGACCUGAGAGGGUGAUCGGCCACACUGGAACUGAGACACGGUCCAGACUCCUACGGGAGGCAGCAGUAGGGAAUCUUCCGCAAUGGGCGAAAGCCUGACGGAGCAACGCCGCGUGAGUGAUGAAGGUCUUCGGAUCGUAAAACUCUGUUAUUAGGGAAGAACAUAUGUGUAAGUAACUGUGCACAUCUUGACGGUACCUAAUCAGAGAGCCACGGCUAACUACGUG